rnacentral:rRNA from 1 species
AUUGAACGCUGGCGGCAUGCCUUACACAUGCAAGUCGAACGGUAACAGGUCUUCGGAUGCUUACGAGUGGCGAACGGGUGAGUAAUACAUCGGAACGUGCCCGAGAGUGGGGGAUAACGAGGCGAAAGCUUUGCUAAUACCGCAUACGAUCUCAGGAUGAAAGCAGGGGACCGCAAGGCCUUGCGCUCACGGAGCGGCCGAUGGCAGACUAGGUCGUUGGUGGGAUAAAAGCUUACCAAACCGACGAUCUGUAGCUGGUCUGAGAGGACGACCAGCCACACUGGGACUGAGACACGGCGCAGGCGCCAACGGGAGGCAGCAGUGGGGAAUUUUGGACAAUGGGCGCAAGCCUGAUCCAGCCAUGCCGCGUGCAGGAUGAAGGCCUUCGGGUUGUAAACUGCUUUUGUACGGAACGAAAAGACUCUGGUUAAUACCUGGGGUCCAUGACGGUACCGUAAGAAUAAGCACCGGCUAACUACGUGCCAGCAGCCGCGGUAAAAC